UGAGCACAUCAACGCGCUGCAGAACUUCUACGGUGUGGAGUUUGGAGCGGGGGCAGCUGAGGCGGGGCGUGCCUCCCGCACCAACACCCUGCAGCAGAGGCGCCGGCAGCUGGGUGCGUUCCUGGGGGCGCGGUAGAGGCAGCAGCCCCAAAGCUGGGCGGCGUUAGAUGCUGGCCACCAGGCAAGUGAGCGGCAUCAAUCAAUGAUAAGGGGCUGUACGCUUCUGGUAGGCGGUUAUUUGCUAGGCAGCACAGGUCAGGGCGGGCCGGGGGAAUACCGGACUCAUGACUGAAGUAUGGGCUGUUGGCUUGCCGUGUCCACUACUGCGGCAUGGGCACGUUGCUGUGUGCGCAUAUUUGCUCGACAUGUGUGCUGCCGGCAAUCGAUAUGCAUGCUCAUCUUGGCACCCAACCCAAUUCCCACCCCGUCUACCAUGGUCGGCCAUGUGAUUGCACCCUCACACUACCAUUUCGCCGUUCCCAUUCAACUCAACACGCCCCUGGCCCUACCGCCCUGCCUGUAUACCACCGCAGACCUGAUGAUGUCUGCACGGCGCUGGAAUUGUUGCAGCCAGCAGCAGCCGAAGCUGUUAGACACGCUCCUUAUUGGCCCCACGCAUUUUGCCUGGCAGCAGCUCGUUCACCGCACCCCAGCGUUGUGACAUGCUAUCGAAGGCUGGGCGGGGGCAAAGCAAAAGGCAGGAGCACAGGAAAGGCCUGGAGAAUCAGGGGCAAAGGAAAGGGCCUGGAGAGGUUUGGUGCUGCAUUUAGUCACAGGGAGGCGCGAGGCGAUGAUGUAAGUUUGCGAAGGCGUGGCCUGGGCAGCGGCAGGGGGCUGGGCAGCGGCAGGGGCAAAGGGCAGAGCUGAGAGAGUGUGAGGCUGUGCUGCAGGGAUGAAGUGGCUAUCGUACAGUGCUUUAUUCGUUAUAGGUGUUUAUUGCGGACUGGCUUCCCCCAUGUUGAGGGGCGACCCGCCGGCAUGUGCAGACAAUGAGGCUGGAGACGCAUGGUCGUGAAGCGCAGCGGUGCCUGUACAAACCGACCCCAGCUGUAGGUAAGGGUGACGGGGGCAUCCGGCCAGGUAGCGAUGACAUGUCAA
rnacentral:lncRNA from 1 species